rnacentral:lncRNA from 10 species
UCACGUUGUAGCAAAGACACCUUUAGCAGAUGCUGGCACUAUGCUCUUGGACUUUCCAGCCUCCAGAAUGGGACCAACGCAUUCUCUCAUGGACACUUCCUGGGGCAGCCUUUUGCAAAUUGCUCAUCUAACAAUCGAGAAAAUGAGGAAGGUGUUUACUUCAAAAUAAUCUUAGAAAUUGACAACAUGAAAUGGUCUUUCUCGGAUCUAGGAGAGAUGAAAUCAGAGCCUGAUGUCUUCAAGUUCUGAAAAGAGACAUUUACCGUCUAUUCUUUCUGAAGCCUCCUGCCUGGAGGCUUCACUUACAUAACAAGAACCCUGGUCUUCACAACCUCCCUUAUGUUACUUUGGGCAUUUCUUUCUUCUGAUUUCAAGUCUUUAGACAAAGCUUAACUCUUUCAAUCAAUUGUCAAUUAGAAAAUCUUUGAAUCCACUUAUGACUUGUAAACACACCAUCUCUUCAAGAUAUCACAUCUCUUUAGGCUGAACCAGCAUAUACCUUACAUGUAUUGAUUUGUGUUUUUGCCUGUAACUUCUGUUUCCCAAAAUGCAUAAAACCGAACUGUAAGCUGACUGCCUCAGGCACACCUUCUCAAAACCUCUGGAGACUGUUCCCCAGGCCAUGGUCUGUCAUACUGGGUCAGAAUAAACUUCUUUAAAUAUUUUACUGUGCUUUGUUUUUCCAUUAACAAGCUCAUGGAUUGACUUACAGAUAUACCCACCCAAUUAUCAUGCUAAACUCCUUAUAGAAGUGCCCAGAAUAGAAAUGGUCAUCACCAUCUCUUCACCUGAUAUGUGGCAUCCAGGCCAAAGCCUGCUUUCUCCAUUACAUUCCAUUUCACAUCCUCUAUCCUAUCCUAGGAAGUCUUAGGAUCUGUAUAUUUAUUUAGCACAUAUGAAAUAUUUUUUGUUAAAAAAAUUGUAAAUAAAUCUUUAUAGGCAUAGUAAUUUUCUUUUCUAGUUUUGUUCUCUCGUUUUUAAGGAUCAUUUGCUCAUUGUAAAAACUUUAAGAAUUUAAAAUUUAUGAAAAAACGCAGUUGUGGUUCUCCCCAAAACCAAACCUUGUUAACUUUUUCAUCUGUAUCUUUCUAGUGGGAUAAAAAUAUGUGCGAGCAAAUCAGUGUUUGACCAUAUUUUUAUUACAUAAAA